AUUGAACGCUGGCGGCAUGCCUUACACAUGCAAGUCGAACGGCAGCACGGACUUCGGUCUGGUGGCGAGUGGCGAACGGGUGAGUAAUGUAUCGGAACGUACCUUUCAGUGGGGGAUAACGUAGCGAAAGUUACGCUAAUACCGCAUAUUCUGUGAGCAGGAAAGCAGGGGAUCGAAAGACCUUGCGCUGAUUGAGCGGCCGAUAUCAGAUUAGCUAGUUGGUGGGGUAAAGGCCUACCAAGGCGACGAUCUGUAGCGGGUCUGAGAGGAUGAUCCGCCACACUGGAACUGAGACACGGUCCAGACUCCUACGGGAGGCAGCAGUGGGGAAUUUUGGACAAAGGGGGCAACCCUGAUCCAGCCAUGCCGCGUGAGUGCAGAAGGCCUUCGGGUUGUAAAGCUCUUUCGGCCGGGAAGACAUCGCAUAGGCUAAUACCCUGUGUGGAUGACGGUACCGGAAUAAGAAGCACCGGCUAACUACGUG
rnacentral:rRNA from 1 species